GGACGAACGCUGGCGGCGUGCCUAAUACAUGCAAGUCGAACGGUCUUUCUAUGGAAGCUUGCUUCCACUGAGAAGAUAGUGGCGAACGGGUGAGUAACACGUGGGUAACCUGCCCAUAAGAGGGGGAUAACAUCCGGAAACGGGUGCUAAUACCGCAUAGUUUUCUUGAUCGCAUGAUCGGGAAAGGAAAGACGGCCUUUGUGCUGUCGCUUAUGGAUGGACCCGCGGCGUAUUAGUUAGUUGGUGAGGUAACGGCUCACCAAGACGAUGAUACGUAGCCGACCUGAGAGGGUGAUCGGCCACAUUGGGACUGAGACACGGCCCAAACUCCUACGGGAGGCGGCAGUAGGGAAUCUUCCGCAAUGGACGAAAGUCUGACGGAGCAACGCCGCGUGAGUGAAGAAAGGUUUUCGGAUCGUAAAACUCUGUUGUCAGAGAAGAAUAAGUUGGAGAGUAACUGCUCCAGCCUUGACGGUAUCUGACCAGAAAGCCACGGCUAACUACGUGCCAGCCGCCGC
rnacentral:rRNA from 1 species